rnacentral:rRNA from 1 species
AUUGAACGCUGGCGGCAGGCCUAACACAUGCAAGUCGAACGAGUGGCGGACGGGUGAGUAAUGUCUGGGAAACUGCCCGAUGGAGGGGGAUAACUCCUGGAAACGGUAGCUAAUACCGCAUACCAUCGGAUGUGCCCACAUGGGAUUAGCUUGUAGGUGAGGUAACGGCUCACCUAGGCGAAGAUCCCUAGCUGGUCUGAGAGGAUGACCAGACACACUGGAUAUGAGACACGGUCCAGGCUCGUAAGGAAGGGAGAAGUGGGGAAUAUUGAACAAUGGGCGCAAGCGUUAGGCAGCCAUGCCGCGUGUAUGAAGAAGGCCUUCGGGUUGUAAAGUACUGUAAGCGGGGAGGCGUUACCCGCAGAAAAAGCACCGGCUAACUCCGUACAAGCAGCCGCGGUAAUAC